rnacentral:lncRNA from 1 species
CGCCGUUCCCGCCAUUCCCGUUUUCCCGCCAUUCCCGCCAUUCCCGUUUUCCCGCCAUUCCCGCCGUUCCCGCCAUUCCCGUUUUCCCGCCAUUCCCGCCAUUCCCGUUUUCCCGCCAUUCCCGUUUUCCCGCCAUUCCUGUUUUCCCGCCGUUCCCGUUUUCCCGCCAUUCCCGCCAUUCCCGUUUUCCCGCCGUUCCCACCACAUGUCGAUCUGUGUGGAGUACUCGGUGGAUCCCAGCAGGAUGUCGGGGGGGCGGUACCAGAGCGUCACCACCUCGCUGGAGAACGUCUUGGUGGGGAUGGACUUGGCCCGGGCCAGGCCUGAGGGGAUCGGGAUUUUGGGAUCAGGAUCGGGAUCAGGAUCAGGAUCAGGAUCAGGAUUUGGGAUCAGGAUCAGGAUCGGGAUCAGGAUCGGGAUCAGGAUUUGGGAUCAGGAUCGGGAUCAGGAUUUGGGAUCAGGAUCGGGAUCAGGAUCAGGAUCAGGAUCGGGAUCAGGAUUUGGGAUCAGGAUUUGGGAUCAGGAUCAGGAUCAGGAUCAGGAUUUGGGAUCAGGAUCAGGAUCAGGAUCAGGAUUGGGAUCAGGAUCAGGAUUUGGGAUCAGGAUCGGGAUCGGGAUCAGGAUUUGUGAUCAGGAUUUGGGAUCAGGAUCAGGAUCAGGAUCGGGAUCAGGGGGUUUGGGAUCAGGAUCAGGAUCGGGAUUGGGAUCAGGGUGUUUGGGAUCAGGAUUUGGGAUCGGGAUCAGGAUCAGGAUCAGGAUCGGGAUUUUGGGAUCAGGAUCAGGAUCAGGAUCGGGAUCAGGAUUUGGGAUCAGGAUUUGGGAUCAGGAUUUGGGAUCAGGAUCAGGAUCAGGAUCGGGAUCAGGGGGUUUGGGAUCAGGAUCAGGAUCGGGAUCAGGAUCAGGAUCAGGGGUACCAGAGCGUCACCACCUCGCUGGAGAACGUCUGGGUGGGGAUGGACUUGGCCCGGGCCAGGCCUGAGGGGAUUUGGGAUUUUGGGAUUUUGGGAUUUGGGAUUUUGGGAUUUGGGAUCAGGAUCAGAAUCAGGAUCAGGAUCAAGAUUGGGGUCAGGGGAUUUGGGAUUGGGGGGUGCCAGGAGAGGUUUUUGGGGUGUCCUGACCGAAAUCU